CCUACGGGAGGCAGCAGUGGGGAAUAUUGCGCAAUGGGCGAAAGCCUGACGCAGCGACGCCGCGUGAGGGAUGACGGCCUUCGGGUUGUAAACCUCUUUCAGCAGGGAAGAAGCGAAAGUGACGGUACCUGCAGAAGAAGCACCGGCUAACUACGUGCCAGCAGCCGCGGUAAUACGUAGGGUGCGAGCGUUGUCCGGAAUUAUUGGGCGUAAAGAGCUCGUAGGCGGCCUGUCGCGUCGGAUGUGAAAACUCGGGGCUUAACCCCGAGCCUGCAUUCGAUACGGGCAGGCUAGAGUUCGGCAGGGGAGACUGGAAUUCCUGGUGUAGCGGUGAAAUGCGCAGAUAUCAGGAGGAACACCGGUGGCGAAGGCGGGUCUCUGGGCCGAUACUGACGCUGAGGAGCGAAAGCGUGGGGAGCGAACAGGAUUAGAUACCCUGGUAGUCCACGCCGUAAACGUUGGGAACUAGGUGUGGGCGACAUUCCACGUCGUCCGUGCCGCAGCUAACGCAUUAAGUUCCCCGCCUGGGGAGUACGGCCGCAAGGCUAAACGUUAAAUGAAUUGACGG
rnacentral:rRNA from 1 species